GACCUUCUCCUCCUCACACUCCGGUGCUCCGCCGUUCUACCGGAGCUCUACUGCUCAGUCUAUCCGUCUCUGGGUUAUUUUGGGUUUGUUUUGAUGUUUUGUAUUCAUUAGUACAGUAAAUUUCAUUUUGGUUUUUAAUCUACUGUAACAAUGUUAUAUGACCCAAUGAUUCUUAUUCAUUUUGUUGUGUUUAAUCUAGAAUUUGUUUGACAUUUGUUGCUGUUUUAGUAUUCUGGGAUUGAGUAGAUUAAAAAUGGGAUCCAGGUGAUUGUUUGAGUAGAAAUGGUAACCAGCAGCUGUUACUUUCUUUUUGGGUGUUUUUUUAUCCCUGUAUCUGUUUCUUCUAGUGUCUGCUGGUUCCAACUGUGUGCAUUUUGUUAGCCUUGCAGUGCUUCUGCUAAGAGGCACAUUGUAUCUGUUGCGGCUAUUUUUUGUUUGCUUAAAAAGCCUAUGGGAAUCUGGUUUAUCUUGUUUUUCAAACGUCGUUAUUGUUAGCUUAUUUAUUUUAGUUGUUCAAGAGUUUUUAACAUGAUAAUUUGAUUAUCUAGUUUUAUUUGAAAUUUGGUAUAGGGGUUGUAAUCCCACCAGGUAAUGAGGAUCUGUGAUGUUGUGCUCUUCUAAAUCGAGAAUAAGCUCUGCUAAUUAGAUAUAGAAGUAUAGAUCUUUUAGUUUUAUCUGAAACUGUAUUGGUGUGUGUGUGUGUGUGUAUGUGUGUUUCUAGAUUUGAUCUUUGAUUUAAAUUGUGAUUCUCUAUUCAAAAUCAAAUAUCAAAAGAGAGGUAAAAUUAAGUUGUUACCAAGGAGCAUAACAAUGUUUGAAUUGAAUAGUUUUCAGCAUAUAUAAUUUCUCUAUGUUAAGUUUGGAUAGGUACAAUGUAAGAAACAAGACGGUGGCAGGUCUUGUCUUCUUCGCGGUUCCAAGGU
rnacentral:lncRNA from 1 species